AAUUUUAAAUCCAAAUGAAAACACCACAUAUGAACAACCCCCCACUAUAGCAACUGAACAACCAUCUGAACCACCAACACAACCACCAACUUCUGAAACUGUUCCAACUAACCCUUACCCAAACCAACUAUAAGACUCUUAUUUUGAUACAAUCCUUUACACCCCCCUUUCUUUCACACUCACCAUCCCUGAAGCUCGUGCCUUUCCAUAAGACACACCAACACCACCAACUCCACC
rnacentral:lncRNA from 1 species